AGGGGCAACCUGGAGAGAUGGGAGAACCUGGAGAAAAGGGACCCAAAGGAGACAGAGGUGAAAAUGGUCAGAAGGGAGAACCAGGAAUUGGGUUCAGAGGCCCCACUGGCCAGGCUGGGCCCCCUGGAUACAAGG